GUACUGAUGAAGAGUCCAACAAUUAGGACGAAACGGCCGUGGAGUAC
rnacentral:hammerhead_ribozyme from 1 species